rnacentral:tRNA from 1 species
GGGGAUUUAGCUCAGUGGCAUAAGCACCUGCCUUGCAAGCACGCAGGCGUGAGUUCAAUCCCUG